rnacentral:misc_RNA from 1 species
GAUGAAGAACGCAGCGAAAUGCGAUACGUAGUGUGAAUUGCAGGAUUCAGUGAAUCAUCGAAUCUUUGAACGCACAUUGCACCUCUCGGUAUUCCGGGAGGUAUGCCUGUUCGAGCGUCAUUUGUACCCUCAAGCUCUGCUUGGUGUUGGGUGUUUGUUCCGCCUCUGUGUGUGAACUCGCCUCAAAACAAUUGGCAGCCGGCGUACUUGUUUCGGAGCGCAGCACAUUUUGCGAUCCAGAUCAACGUACAGCGGCAUCCAAGAAGCCUUAUUUAACGCUCUUGACCUCGGAUCAGGUAGGGAUACCCGCUGAACUUAAGCAUAUCAAUAAGCGGAGGA